CCGGUGGACCUCGGAUCAGGUAGGGAUACCCGCUGAACUUAAGCAUAUCAAUAAGCGGAGGAAAAGAAACCAACCGGGAUUGCCUCAGUAACGGCGAGUGAAGCGGCAACAGCUCAAAUUUGAAAUCUGGCCUCUGCGGGGUCCGAGUUGUAAUUUGCAGAGGGUGUUUCGGGUGCGGUGCCGGUCUAAGUUCCUUGGAACAGGACGUCAUAGAGGGUGAGAAUCCCGUCUGCGACUCGGCCACCAACCCCGCGUGAAACCCCUUCGACGAGUCGAGUUGUUUGGGAAUGCAGCUCAAAAUGGGUGGUAAAUUUCAUCUAAAGCUAAAUACCGGCCAGAGACCGAUAGCGCACAAGUAGAGUGAUCGAAAGAUGAAAAGCACUUUGGAAAGAGAGUUAAAAAGUACGUGAAAUUGUUGAAAGGGAAGCGCUUGCGACCAGACCUGUCCCCGGGCGAUCAUCCGCCAUUCGUGGCGGUGCACUCGCCCGGACGCAGGCCAGCAUCGGUUCGGGCGGCGGGACAAAGGGCCCGGGAACGUAGCUUCCUCCGGGGAGCUUUAUAGCCCGGGUUGCCAUGCCGCCCGCCUGGACCGAGGACCGCGCUUCGGCUAGGAUGCUGGCGUAAUGGUCGUAAGCGACCCGUCUUGAAACACGGACCAAGGAGUCUACCAUCUGUGCGAGUGUUUGGGUGUCAAACCCGGGCGCGGAAUGAAAGUGAACGGAGGUGAGACCCCGGCAACGGGCGCAUCAUCGACCGAUCCAAAUGUCUUCGGAUGGAUUUGAGUACGAGCAUAGCUGGUGGGACCCGAAAGAUGAUGAACUAUGCCUGAAUAGGGUGAAGCCAGAGGAAACUCUGGUGGAGGCUCGCAGCGGUUCUGACGUGCAAAUCGAUCGUCGAAAUUGGGUAUAGGGGCGAAAGACCAAUCGAAUCAUCUAGUAGCUGGU
rnacentral:rRNA from 1 species